rnacentral:lncRNA from 1 species
AUACCAGAAUAAAAACACAAGAGAGGGAAAUAUUUGUGGCUUACAUAUAUUAAAUGUAAUAAAUGUAUUCAAAAAGAUUUUCACCUAGUUGAACUGCAUUUAUACUUCAUGAAUAUCACUAGCGUAAUCAUUACUUUAAAAACAUAUAGCUGGAGAAAUAAGCAUUUAGACAGGUAAGAGAGCGGUGUCCUCAGGAGAGCAGUGGGAUUAGGACCUGGCUAGGCUUAGCUGGAGCCUGCAGAGGUGAUGGGUAUUGAAGUGCUAAUUGACAGCAGCAGUAUUGAGAGCCAAACUAGGGAAGGAUGUUAAUUAGACAAACUGUGCUUUGCACUGAGUCUUCAGAAGUUUUUUGCUUUGUUUUGCUGUUCUUUAAUCAUGCAAGAAAUACCUUCUUUCUGAAGACUAGAAGUACUCAGGAGGCUGAGGUGGGGUUUCUUGCCUGAGCCUG